rnacentral:rRNA from 1 species
UUAGGAAUUUUCCGCAAUGGGCGAAAGCCUGACGGAGCAACACCGCGUGGACGAUGAAGACCUUCGGGUUGUAAAGUCCUGUCGGAGGGAAAGAAACAAGACGGUACCCUCCAAGGAAGCCCCGGCUAACUACGUGCCAGCAGCCGCGGUAAUACGUAGGGGGCGAGCGUUAUCCGGAUUUACUGGGCGUAAAGCGCGUUAAGGCGGCUUGUUAAGUUGAUGGUGAAAUUUCAGGGCUCAACCCUGAAACUGCCUUCAAUACUGGCAAGCUUGAGUGUGAGAGAGGAAGAUGGAAUUCCCGGUGUAGUAGUGAAAUGCGUAGAUAUCGGGAGGAACACCAGUGGCGAAGGCGGUCUUCUGGCUCACAACUGACGCUGUAGCGCGAAAGCGUGGGGAGCGAACGG